rnacentral:rRNA from 1 species
UACAGAGGUCUCGAGCGUUGUUCGGAUUUACUGGGCGUAAAGCGCACGUAGGCGGUUUGUUAAGUCAGGGGUGAAAUCCCAGAGCUCAACUCUGGAACUGCCUUUGAUACUGGCAAGCUAGAGUCCGGAAGAGGUGAGUGGAACUCCUAGUGUAGAGGUGGAAUUCGUAGAUAUUAGGAAGAACACCGGUGGCGAAGGCGGCCAACUGGACGAAGACUGACGCUGAGACACGAAAGCGUGGGGAGCAAACAGG